rnacentral:rRNA from 1 species
CCCGCUGAACUUAAGCAUAUCAAUAAGCGGAGGAAAAGAAACCAACAGGGAUUGCCCUAGUAACGGCGAGUGAAGCGGCAACAGCUCAAAUUUGAAAUCUGGCUCUCUUGCAGGGUCCGAGUUGUAAUUUGCAGAGGGUGCUUUGGCGUUGGCAGCGGUCUAAGUUCCUUGGAACAGGACAUCACAGAGGGUGAGAAUCCCGUAUGUGGUCGCUAGUCCUCGCCGUGUAAAGCCCCUUCAACGAGUCGAGUUGUUUGGGAAUGCAGCUCUAAAUGGGAGGUAAAUUUCUUCUAAAGCUAAAUACUGGCCAGAGACCGAUAGCGCACAAGUAGAGUGAUCGAAAGAUGAAAAGCACUUUGGAAAGAGAGUCAAACAGCACGUGAAAUUGUUGAAAGGGAAGCGCUUGCCGCCAGACUUGCCUGCAGUUGUUCAUCUGGGCGCUUCGCCCGGUGCACUCUUCUGCGGGCAGGCCAGCAUCAGUUUGGGCAGCCGGAUAAGGGUCUCUGUCAUGUAUCUUUCUUCGGAAUGACCUUAUAGGGGAGGCGUAGUACGGUUAGCCUGGACUGAGGUCCGCGCAUCUGCUAGGAUGCUGGCGUAAUGGCUGCAAGCGGCCCGUCUUGAAACACGG